GUUGCCAUCCUAUCUUGGCCAGGUCAUGAUUCAAUCUUGACCAAGUCAGGAUUGAUAACAUGACCAAGUCAAGAUUGAUAACAUGGCCAUCCUAUCUUGGCCAGGUCAGGAUUGAUAACAUGGCUCAGUCAAGAUUGAUAACAUGGCCAAGUCAAGAUUGAAAACAUGACCAUCCAAUCUUGGCCGGGUCAUGAUUCAAUGUUGACCGAGCCAGGAUUGACAACAUUACCAUCUAUCUUGGUCGGUCAUGAUUGCAUUGCGCCAGGAUAUAUUACUUCCAAACGCAGUCAAGAUUUCUUCAAGCGUCAAUCCUGGCCAAGUCAGGAUGCAAUGUCAAGCGUCAAUCUUGGCUUGGUCAUGAUGUGUUUUUCAAACGCAGGCAAGAUUUAUGGUCAUGAUUGCAUUGCGCCAGGAUGUAUGACUUCCAAGCGCUGUCAAGAUUGCAAAUGCAAGCGCUUCCCUAACAACGAAAACCCGCUAAAAAUGUGUAUUGGAUUUGCUCCUCAGCUGACAGUGACAAAUAACUACUAGGUUGCAGUGACUAUGUUGUACUGAACAAUCAACAAAACUCCAGAUCCAUGGCGCAUUCAAUAUUUGAAAGUUGGUUAUAGAUCUACAGUAUCUCAGAUUGACACAUGCUGACUGGAGUCUUUGGCUAUGGGACCCAUUUUGCAGUAAUUAAGAAUGUGCAGGAGAAAGUGGUACACUUCAUUUCAGUCGCAUCUUUCGACAAGCGGAAAUCCAUGGUCUACCUGGAAUAAGUUUAUUUUGGCAUCAAUACAACCUUUCUCCAAGGUCAAGGUCAAAGAUCAAAGGCCAGAACUGAUGUCAGCUGGAAAGACACCACAAUGGGUAUUGGAUUUGUAUUUUA